rnacentral:rRNA from 1 species
UACCAGCACCCCGAGUGGUCGGGACGUUUAUUGGGCGUAAAGCGCGCGCAGGCGGUGCGGUAAGUCUAUGGUGAAAGCGCUCGGCUUAACUGGGCGAGGGCCGUGGAGACUGCCGGACUGGAGGGGAGCAGAGGCGAGUGGAAUUCCGGGUGUAGUGGUGAAAUGCGUAGAGAUCCGGAGGAACACCAGUGGCGAAGGCGGCUCGCUGGGCUCAACCUGACGCUGAGGCGCGAAAGCGUGGGGAGCGAACCGG